UACGUAGGGAGCAAGCGUUGUCCGGAAUCAUUGGGUGUAAAGCGCGCGUAGGCGGCCUCAUAAGUCCGUUGUGAAAGUCAAAGGCUCAACCUUUGAAAGCCGAUGGUAUACGUGUGAGGCUAGAGUCCGGAAGAGGCGAGUGGAAUUCCUGGUGUAGCGGUGGAAUGCGCAGAUAUCAGGAGGAACACCAAUAGCGAAGGCAGCUCGCUGGGACGGUACUGACGCUAAGGCGCGAAAGCGUGGGGAGCGACGAGG
rnacentral:rRNA from 1 species